ACGUCAGCUGGCGGAGCUCCGGC
rnacentral:miRNA from 1 species